UCAGGACGAACGCUGGCGGCGUGCCUAAUACAUGCAAGUCGAACGGUCUUUCUAUGGAAGCUUGCUUCCACUGAGAAGAUAGUGGCGAACGGGUGAGUAACACGUGGGUAACCUGCCCAUAAGAGGGGGGAUAACAUCCGGAAACGGGUGCUAAUACCGCAUAGUUUCUUGAUCGCAUGAUUGAGAAAGGAAAGACGGCCUUUGUGCUGUCGCUUAUGGAUGGACCCGCGGCGUAUUAGUUAGUUGGUGAGGUAACGGCUCACCAAGACGAUGAUACGUAGCCGACCUGAGAGGGUGAUCGGCCACAUUGGGACUGAGACACGGCCCAAACUCCUACGGGAGGCAGCAGUAGGGAAUCUUCCGCAAUGGACGAAAGUCUGACGGAGCAACGCCGCGUGAGUGAAAGAAGGUUUUCGGAUCGUAAAACUCUGUUGUCAGAGAAGAACAAGUUGGAGAGUAACUGCUCCAGCCUUGACGGUAUCUGACCAGAAAGCCACGGCUAACUACGUGCCAGCCGCCGC
rnacentral:rRNA from 1 species